GUGAGGAAUAUUGGUCAAUGGGCGAGAGCCUGAACCAGCCAAGUCGCGUGAAGGAUGAAGGUUUUAUGAAUUGUAAACUUCUUUUGCAGGGGAAUAAAGUACGGUACGUGUACCGUUUUGUAUGUACUCUGCGAAUAGGGAUCGGCUAACUCCGUGCCAGCAGCCGCGGUAAUACGGAGGAUCCAAGCGUUAUCCGGAUUUAUUGGGUUUAAAGGGUGCGCAGGCGGGUUGAUAAGUCAGCGGUGAAAGUUUGCAGCUUAACUGUAAAAUUGCCGUUGAAACUGUCGAUCUUGAGUGCAAAUGAGGUAAGCGGAAUGUGUUGUGUAGCGGUGAAAUGCUUAGAUAUAACACAGAACACCAAUUGCGAAGGCAGCUUACUGGGAUGCAACUGACGCUGAGGCACGAAAGCGUGGGGAUCAAACAGGAUUAGAAACCCUAGUAGUCC
rnacentral:rRNA from 1 species